AUUGAACGCUGGCGGCAUGCUUUACACAUGCAAGUCGAACGGUAACAGGCCUUCGGGUGCUGACGAGUGGCGAACGGGUGAGUAAUGCAUCGGAACGUACCCAGAGGUGGGGGAUAACGCAGCGAAAGCUGUGCUAAUACCGCAUGUGAUCUGAGGAUGAAAGCGGGGGACCGAGCAGCAAUGUUUGGCCUCGCGCCUUUGGAGCGGCCGAUGUCGGAUUAGCUAGUUGGUGGGGUAAAGGCCUACCAAGGCGACGAUCCGUAGCUGGUCUGAGAGGACGACCGGCCACACGGGGACUGGGACACGGCCCAGACUCCUAGGGGAGGCAGCGGUGGGGAAUUUUGGACAAUGGGCGAAAGCCUGACCCAGCAAUGCCGCGUGCGGAAGAAGGCCUUCGGGUUGUAAACCGCUUUUGGCAGGAACGAAACGGUGUCCGCUAAUACCGGGCGCUAAUGACGGUACCUGCAGAAUAAGCACCGGCUAACUACGUG
rnacentral:rRNA from 1 species